rnacentral:rRNA from 1 species
UACGAAGGUCCCAAGCGUUAUCCGGAUUUAUUGGGUUUAAAGGGUGCGUAGGCGGUCUAUUAAGUCAGUGGUGAAAGCCCCAAGCUCAACUUGGGAACUGCCAUUGAUACUGAUGGACUUGAGUACAUUUGAGGUGGGCGGAAUGUAUCAUGUAGCGGUGAAAUGCUUAGAUAUGACACAGAACACCGAUUGCGAAGGCAGCUCACUAAACUGUAACUGACGUUGAGGCACGAAAGCGUGGGGAGCAAACAGG